UAUAAUUGGUAAAUAAGAGUUAAGCUUUAUAAUAGAGUUUAGAGAAAGGUGGAAUAAGGGUUCACUUUUUGGCACCCACUUUUGGGUCCGGGUCUUAUCCCAACGAGCCCAACGUACCGAACCACUGCAAACGCAUAUAAACUUAUUGUUGUUUGCGUUUGGUUGGCUGCACAAUUUUUCUCUAUAAUACAAGUACUUCUUUGUGGAUUCAGAGCAGCUUCUUCUCUGCUU
rnacentral:lncRNA from 1 species